GACGAACGCUGGCGGCGUGCCUAAUACAUGCAAGUCGAACGCAGUGGGGACGGGUGAGUAACACGUGGGUAACCUCCCAUCAGAGGGGAUAACACUUGGAAACAGGUGCUAAACCGAUACUGAUGGAUGGACCCGCGGGGCAUUAGCUAGUUGGUGAGGUAACGGCUCACCAAGGCCACGAUGCAUAGCCGGGCGGAGAGGGUGACCGGCCACACUGGGACUGAGACACGGCCCAGACUCCUACGGGAGGCAGCAGGAGGGAAUAUUCGGCAAUGGGCGAAAGUCUGACCCAGCAACGCCGCGUGAGUGAAGAAGGUUUUCGGGUCGUAAAGCACUGUUGGUAGAGAGGCGGUAUCUAAAGAAGAAGCAACGGCUAACUACGUGCCAGCAGCCGCGGUAAUAC
rnacentral:rRNA from 1 species